UGGGACUCCGGCCCUGAAGCGGGCAAUGAGGUUUGCACAUACAAGUCCACGAAGAAGGAAAGGCAAAAAUACUCUCUCUACUCUCCAGCCCUCAUCCUCAAGGCUAGUAUAAAACAAGAAAAGGUCAGUUAAAUGUAUUUUCAUCCUUCUUUUAUUUGUUAAAAAUAAUAUGCCUAAAAGUCUGCAGAUGAGCUAAUAUGUCCUUGAAAGGGGGCAUGUUACAUACAGGUCUCUUUAGCAUUUCUAAUUCUGUGAAAGCCACCUUAAAUCUUUUGGGAGACAAAACAGUUUGUUGGAAGAAAACAGCCUCUGAUGUAGCUAUAAAUCGCUAUUCUAUUUUCUUAUGUAUUUAUAAAAUCAUACCAGAAAUAAUGAGUUGUUUUGUCAAUAAUAGAACACUGACAUGAACUUGACCUAACAACUAGCAUAAACUGUCAAUUCAUCUUGCAUUAACAAGAAAAUGAAACAAGAAAUAACUAUUAGAAAGAAAUGACAAAAUUCAAAUUGACUUUGAAAAAAUCUGAUUUUAUUUUCUCAAUCAAAAUGAAGUAUUUCAUGUUAAUUUAGACUGUUUAGCUUUCCACUGAUAUCUCAAGAUACUUUCCAGAUAUUAACAGUACUCAGAACUGUGUAAAAGUUAACCACCAAAACCAUGUUUUAAAGAAAAAAGUUUAAAUUUAUGAUUAGUUUUUCAGUACAAAUAAAAAAAUU
rnacentral:lncRNA from 1 species